rnacentral:lncRNA from 1 species
UAGCAAAGGAAAAAGAAAAGAGGAUAGCUUAACUGCAUCUCAGAGAAAGCAGAGGUGAGUAGUGCUAACAGAACGUUCAAGUCAGUGGCGGCUUGACUACCGUAUUUUCAGAAUGAAGAACAUGUUUUUAAACCCUUCCUAGAACUGAAGCUCGCCUAGAGUAAGGGUUAACACACUGUCUGUGUAGCUCUAAGUACACUGCAACCCUACACUGUAGUUAUCUCCCAGCCUGUGGAUGAAGAAUGGCAAGCCCUGAAGCUAUCAUGUUUGCUGGGAAUCUCUUACAGCAACUUAAGAAUUUUAUUGUGGAAAAUACAAACAUCCUCCAUAUAUAAACACUGUUGCAUGAAUGGGAUACAAUGUUUCCAAAACGUGACAGCUUGCCCCAAGUGUCUUAAAUGGGUUUCUGGAAUCCAUUGGGAUGGAGAGAAUGGACGCUGGAUUCAUAUAAGACUUUAUGCUACUCAGAGGCAUAGGCUAAAGCGACCUAUAGACCUUGUCUCAAAAGAGUUGGGAGGUACGCCCAGAGGCUGUAUCUCAGCAAUAGAGAACACUUGCCUCAAGUCUGUAUGGCCCUGAGGUCCAUCCCUACACUUCAGAUGACUUUCUAUGGCAAGUAACUGCCACAGACACACUUUAACGCUCUGGGAAGUGUCAAUCAGUGUCAUCCUACGACUCCGGGGACAGAUGCAAGAGAAUCAGUGAGGCCAGCCUGGACUACAUGACAAGAUACUGUCUCAAAGAAAGAUAAAGGCUUUAACAUUCUUUUAC